AGUGAACGCUGGCGGUAGGCCUAACACAUGCAAGUCGAACGGCAGCACAGUAAGAGCUUGCUCUUACGGGUGGCGAGUGGCGGACGGGUGAGGAAUACAUCGGAAUCUACUUUUUCGUGGGGGAUAACGUAGGGAAACUUCCGCUAAUACCGCGUACGACCUACGGGUGAAAGCAGGGGAUCUUCGGACCUUGCGCGAUUGAAUGAGCCGAUGUCGGAUUAGCUAGUUGGCGGGGUAAAGGCCCACCAAGGCGACGAUCCGUAGCUGGUCUGAGAGGAUGAUCAGCCACACUGGAACUGAGACACGGUCCAGACUCCUACGGGAGGCAGCAGUGGGGAAUAUUGGACAAUGGGCGCAAGCCUGAUCCAGCCAUACCGCGUGGGUGAAGAAGGCCUUCGGGUUGUAAAGCCCUUUUAUUGGGAAAGAAAAGCAGCAGGUUAAUACCCCGCUGUUCUGACGGUACCCAAAGAAUAAGCACCGGCUAACUUCGUG
rnacentral:rRNA from 1 species